rnacentral:tRNA from 2 species
GGAGGGGUCGCAUAGUUUGGUCUAGUGCGCUCGCUUGGAAAGCGAGUAUACCGCAAGGUAUCGAGGGUUCGAAUCCCUCCCCCUCCG